GAUGAACGCUGGCGGCGUGCCUAAUACAUGCAAGUCGAGCGAACAGACGAGGAGCUUGCUCCUCUGACGUUAGCGGCGGACGGGUGAGUAACACGUGGAUAACCUAUCUUUAAGACUGGGAUAACUUCGGGAAACCGGAUCUAAUACCGGAUAAUCUAUUGAACCGCAUUGUUCAAUAGUAAAAGGCGGCUUUUCUGUUACUUAUUGAUCGAUCCUCGACGCAUUAGCUAGUUGGUAUGGUAACGGCUUACCAAGGCAAUGAUGCGUAGCCGACCUAAGAGGGGGAUGGGCAACACGGGAACUGAGAAACGGUCAAGACUCCUACGGGAGGCAGAAGUAGGGAAUCUUCCGAAAGGGGCGAAAGCCUGACGGAGAAACGCGGCGUGAGUGAGGAAGGUCUUCGGAUCGUAAAACUCUGUUAAAAGGGAAGAACAAAUGGGUAAGUAAAAAUGCACGUCGUGACGGUACCUAAUCAGAAAGCCACGGCUAACUACGUG
rnacentral:rRNA from 1 species